UACGUAGGUGGCGAGCGUUGUCCGGAUUUACUGGGCGUAAAGAGCGCGCAGGCGGUCGUGCAAGUCGCGUGUGAAAGCCCCCGGCUCAACUGGGGAGGGUCACGCGAUACUGCUCGACUUGAAGGCAGGAGAGGGAAGUGGAAUUCCCGGUGUAGUGGUGAAAUGCGCAGAUAUCGGGAAGAACACCCGUGGCGAAGGCGGCUCUCUGGGACGGUACUGACGCUGAGACGCGAAAGCGUGGGGAGCGAACAGG
rnacentral:rRNA from 1 species